UCGGGAAUUUUGGGCAAUGGGCGAAAGCCUGACCCAGCAACGCCGCGUGAAGGAUGAAGUAUUUCGGUAUGUAAACUUCGAAAGAAUAGGAAGAAUAAAUGACGGUACUAUUUAUAAGGUCCGGCUAACUACGUGCCAGCAGCCGCGGUAAUACGUAGGGACCAAGCGUUGUUCGGAUUUACUGGGCGUAAAGGGCGCGUAGGCGGCAAUUCAAGUCAUCUGUGAAAUCUCCGGGCUUAACUCGGAACGGUCAGAUGAUACUGCUUUGCUAGAGUGCAGAAGGGGCAAUCGGAAUUCUUGGUGUAGCGGUGAAAUGCGUAGAUAUCAAGAGGAACACCUGAGGUGAAGGCGGGUUGCUGGGCUGACACUGACGCUGAGGCGCGAAAGCCAGGGGAGCAAACGGGAUUAGAUACCCAAGUAGUCCCUGAG
rnacentral:rRNA from 1 species